AGUGAACGCUGGCGGUAGGCCUAACACAUGCAAGUCGAACGGCAGCACAGUAAGAGCUUGCUCUUACGGGUGGCGAGUGGCGGACGGGUGAGGAAUACAUCGGAAUCUACUUUUUCGUGGGGGACAACGUAGGGAAACUUACGCUAAUACCGCAUACGACCUACGGGUGAAAGCAGGGGAUCUUCGGACCUUGCGCGAUUGAAUGAGCCGAUGUCGGAUUAGCUAGUUGGCGGGGUAAAGGCCCACCAAGGCGACGAUCCGUAGCUGGUCUGAGAGGAUGAUCAGCCACACUGGAACUGAGACACGGUCCAGACUCCUACGGGAGGCAGCAGUGGGGAAUAUUGGACAAUGGGCGCAAGCCUGAUCCAGCCAUACCGCGUGGGUGAAGAAGGCCUUCGGGUUGUAAAGCCCUUUUGUUGGGAAAGAAGAGCAGCAGGUUAAUACCCCGCUGUUCUGACGGUACCCAAAGAAUAAGCACCGGCUAACUUCGUG
rnacentral:rRNA from 1 species